AAUGCAUAGCUUGGUGAGGUACACGCCUAGCAGGCCAGUACCCCAUGCGCAGGCCCAACCAGUGGGCCCAUUUUCACGCAACCCGCAUGACCCACUGGGUCGGCCCAUGCAGUCCACCCGACCCAUAACCCAGUCAGUUUUUCCCUCAAAAGUUUUAUUAUUUUAAUUCUUGUUGGACCCCACUUUAAUUUUCCCAUGUUUUUAAUUAAUUUUCAUAUGUUUUAAUUAAUUUUUCCAUGUGUUUGUAAAACAAUGGAAUAAAGCUUAACCUAUUUUAAUUAU
rnacentral:lncRNA from 1 species